rnacentral:lncRNA from 1 species
AGGGUGGCUUUAGGAACAGCUCUGAUGGCAAAGGAUUUGGAUUGGCACAGGAUGCAGCUACAAAAACUCUAACUCCAACCCCUUUGGUCACUUGCACAUCAGAUCUAUCGGAUAAUGUGCAGCACCGACCUGGCUGGCAAAGACUUUUCCUCUGUCUUCCGUUUUAUAAAAGGAAAUGAGGAAGAGUAAAGCGUAGAAAGAUUUAAUUAAAUCAGAUUUAUUUUGUGGCACAGAUUUUGGAGUUAGUGGAACAUUGUAGUCUGGUUAAAAAAAAAAAAGGCAGUUUGCUGUAUUUUUAAAAGAAUCAAUUGCAUUAAGACUUUAUUCAUUGAUUUAGGCAGCUCUUUUUUUUAGUCCAAUGGUGUUAUAUAUUAUGUUGAGUUUGUAUACAUUCAGAUGAAGAAAAUUAUUGCCUUAUGGUGAAUCUUUUAGUUCCAUGUAUUCUAAAGGAAUUAAAUGUAAUGAAAUGAGAGAUUUUUUUUUUUUUUUUUUUUAGGGAGGGUUUUUUUUUUAAUUCUACUGUAUUGGCCAUCAUCCGCAUAAUACAAAUGAAAAUGGCCCAAUUCCUAUUCUACAGGUGUUGAAUGUCUGUCCAGAAUCCACUUAACUGAAGAAAAAAGAAAUCAGUGGUAUUUGAUAGAUUAUUUUUAUAUAUGUAUUCAAGUCACUCAAAAUUUAGUGUUUAUUUAGAAUUGUGCAAAUAGGUUAUUGAGAACAAAACCACAAUUUGGAUGUAAACAUGAAGUUUGCAAAGCCCAAAUGUUCACAACUACUACAGGGACUACGAAACAAACUUGUCUAUUGUUUUUUUUUUUUUUUUU